CCAGGUGCCCCCAGGUGUGCCCAGGUGUAUCCCAGGUGUAUCCCAGGUGUGCCCAGGUGUAUCCCAGGUGUAUCCCAGGUGUGCCCAGGUGCACCCAGGUGUGCCCAGGUGUAUCCCAGGUGUGCCCAGGUGUGCCCAGGUGUAUCCCAGGUGUGCCCAGGUGUGCCCAGGUGUGCCCAGGUGUGCCCAGGUGUAUCCCAGGUGUGCCCAGGUGUGCCCAGGUGUAUCCCAGGUGUAUCCCAGGUGUGCCCAGGUGUAUCCCAG